UAACCUGCCUGUAAGACUGGGAUAACUCCGGGAAACCGGGGCUAAUACCGGAUGCUUGAUUGAACCGCAUGGUUCAAUCAUAAAAGGUGGCUUUUAGCUACCACUUACAGAUGGACCCGCGGCGCAUUAGCUAGUUGGUGAGGUAACGGCUCACCAAGGCGACGAUGCGUAGCCGACCUGAGAGGGUGAUCGGCCACACUGGGACUGAGACACGGCCCAGACUAAUACGGGAGGCAGCAGUAGGGAAUCUUCCGCAAUGGACGAAAGUCUGACGGAGCAACGCCGCGUGAGUGAUGAAGGUUUUCGGAUCGUAAAACUCUGUUGUUAGGGAAGAACAAGUACCGUUCGAAUAGGGCGGCACCUUGACGGUACCUAACCAGAAAGCCACGGCUAACUACGUGCCAGCAGCCGCGGUAAUACGUAGGUGGCAAGCGUUGUCCGGAAUUAUUGGGCGUAAAGCGCGCGCAGGCGGUUUCUUAAGUCUGAUGUGAAAGCCCCCGGCUCAACCGGGGAGGGUCAUUGGAAACUGGGGAACUUGAGUGCAGAAGAGGAGAGUGGAAUUCCACGUGUAGCGGUGAAAUGCGUAGAGAUGUGGAGGAACACCAGUGGCGAAGGCGACUCUCUGGUCUGUAACUGACGCUGAGGCGCGAAAGCGUGGGGAGCGAACAGGAUUAGAUACCCUGGUAGUCCACGCCGUAAACGAUGAGUGCUAAGUGUUAGAGGGUUUCCGCCCUUUAGUGCUGCAGCAAACGCAUUAAGCACUCCGCCUGGGGAGUACGGUCGCAAGACUGAAACUCAAAGGAAUUGACGGGGGCCCGCACAAGCGGUGGAGCAUGUGGUUUAAUUCGAAGCAACGCGAAGAACCUUACCAGGUCUUGACAUCCUCUGACAACCCUAGAGAUAGGGCUUCCCCUUCGGGGGCAGAGUGACAGGUGGUGCAUGGUUGUCGUCAGCUCGUGUCGUGAGAUGUUGGGUUAAGUCCCGCAACGAGCGCAACCCUUGAUCUUAGUUGCCAGCAUUCAGUUGGGCACUCUAAGGUGACUGCCGGUGACAAACCGGAGGAAGGUGGGGAUGACGUCAAAUCAUCAUGCCCCUUAUGACCUGGGCUACACACGUGCUACAAUGGGCAGAACAAAGGGCAGCGAAGCCGCGAGGCUAAGCCAAUCCCACAAAUCUGUUCUCAGUUCGGAUCGCAGUCUGCAACUCGACUGCGUGAAGCUGGAAUCGCUAGUAAUCGCGGAUCAGCAUGCCGCGGUGAAUACGUUCCCGGGCCUUGUACACACCGCCCGUCACACCACGAGAGUUUGUAACACCC
rnacentral:rRNA from 2 species